UGAGGAAAACGCUGGCUCCCUGGUCUCUCCCCUGCUGAACUUCACAGGCUGGAAAAAAGAGGAGGGGGGCACAUUAGCAACGCAAUAUGUCUCUGGAUCAAGAUAUAGACUUCAUCACCGGCCUACUAGAAAUGUACCAUUGCCAUGAAUGUCUGUGGAAGAUCAAAGCCAAGGGGUAUUUCGGAUAAAGUCCGGCGGAAUGCGGCUUUGGAGGAGCUAGUGGCAUACAGCAGGUACUUUGUGUCCGGUGCUGACAAGGACUGGGUAAAGAAAAAGAUACAGAACCUGCGUAGGGUGUUCCUCAAAGAACACAAAAAAUGGAACAGUCCAAAAGAUCUGGAGUAGGUACCUCCCAGGUUUACAAGACCUCGCUCUGGUACUACCCCAUGCUGGAGUUUGUCCUGGACCAGUAGCCUACCCGGACAGGUUUCGCUUUCCUCCCUCAGACUGCCACACCAAAUCCUGAAGAGGGUGAACUUUGUAUCUAGUGGAAAUGUGGAGAUUCCUACCACGCCAGACCUCAGUCUCCUGGAUACAAAGGAAUCCCAGACCCAAGAUAUGACCCCUGAAGCAUCAGCUACCCCUGAUACCUCUGCAGCGCCAGCUCCUCUGCUGCGCCCCCAGAAGAGAACUACCCCAAAGAAGAAACACCACCCAGGAGGGCAAAGACCUCAUCUUUGAGGAGAUCAAGUCAAGACUUGCCCAGCCCCCUGACCACUGCACAAGAUUUGGGGAAUUCUUGGCCUCUGCCAUGCGCAUAUAGGUUGAACUCGAUGGACAUUUGUCUUUUUUCAACCUCAACAACUAUGUAACUAUGUAACCUGCCACCUGGGCAAGCCAAGCAGAUUGAGCUUCUAAAUUUAAAGAUGAUUAACAAGGCCCGAAAAAUGAAACUCCACGACAAUGUCGUACUGUUCGACCGCCUUCCUCUCACUGCUCCUCCCACCCAACCCCAUCCUAUUCCGCCCACCCAACCCCAUCCUAUUCUGCCCACCCAACAACAGCCUACUCCCUCACCCACCUGCUCCUCAACCAUAUACUCUGCUAUGCUGGAGGCAGAGGAGGACAUUCCCCAGUUUGAAAUUUUAUAGGUAUCUUAUAAUUCCCAAUAAAUAUGGUGCGGUACAGGCUAUAUGGUGUUUUGCGGCAGAUUUUUUGGGGAGGAUACACGCAUGCUGUAGGGGCAUAAUAAUGGGGCCGGGCCCAUUCAUUCUUCACUUUACAGCAUGAUACACGCAUGCUGUAGGGGCAUAAUAAUGGGGCCGGGCCCAUUCAUUCUUCACUUUACAGCAUGUGUGUAUUCUCCCAAUCAAAUCUGUGCCCAAAGCACCAUAUACAGUAGCCCUCCAUUUUAGGAGUGAAAGUACCGCACCAUAUUUAUUGGGAAUUUAAAGUAAAGUAAACUGUUAUUUAAUAAUUUUUUUUAUUUUAGUACAUAUAUAUAUCCAAAUUGUGAUGUCAUGUUUUAUUUUUAUAU